CCUUUUGUAUAAUGGGUCAGCGACUUAUAUUCUGUAGCAAGGUUAACCGAAUAGGGGAGCCGAAGGGAAACCGAGUCUUAACUGGGCGUUAAGUUGCAGGGUAUAGACCCGAAACCCGGUGAUCUAGCCAUGGGCAGGUUGAAGGUUGGGUAACACUAACUGGAGGACCGAACCGACUAAUGUUGAAAAAUUAGCGGAUGACUUGUGGCUGGGGGUGAAAGGCCAAUCAAACCGGGAGAUAGCUGGUUCUCCCCGAAAGCUAUUUAGGUAGCGCCUCGUGAAUUCAUCUCCGGGGGUAGAGCACUGUUUCGGCAAGGGGGUCAUCCCGACUUACCAACCCGAUGCAAACUGCGAAUACCGGAGAAUGUUAUCACGGGAGACACACGGCGGGUGCUAACGUCCGUCGUGAAGAGGGAAACAACCCAGACCGCCAGCUAAGGUCCCAAAGUCAUGGUUAAGUGGGAAACGAUGUGGGAAGGCCCAGACAGCCAGGAUGUUGGCUUAGAAGCAGCCAUCAUUUAAAGAAAGCGUAAUAGCUCACUGGUCGAGUCGGCCUGCGCGGAAGAUGUAACGGGGCUAAACCAUGCACCGAAGCUGCGGCAGCGACGCUUAUGCGUUGUUGGGUAGGGGAGCGUUCUGUAAGCCUGUGAAGGUGUGCUGUGAGGCAUGCUGGAGGUAUCAGAAGUGCGAAUGCUGACAUAAGUAACGAUAAAGCGGGUGAAAAGCCCGCUCGCCGGAAGACCAAGGGUUCCUGUCCAACGUUAAUCGGGGCAGGGUGAGUCGACCCCUAAGGCGAGGCCGAAAGGCGUAGUCGAUGGGAAACAGGUUAAUAUUCCUGUACUUGGUGUUACUGCGAAGGGGGGACGGAGAAGGCUAUGUUGGCCGGGCGACGGUUGUCCCGGUUUAAGCGUGUAGGCUGGUUUUCCAGGCAAAUCCGGAAAAUCAAGGCUGAGGCGUGAUGACGAGGCACUACGGUGCUGAAGCAACAAAUGCCCUGCUUCCAGGAAAAGCCUCUAAGCAUCAGGUAACAUCAAAUCGUACCCCAAACCGACACAGGUGGUCAGGUAGAGAAUACCAAGGCGCUUGAGAGAACUCGGGUGAAGGAACUAGGCAAAAUGGUGCCGUAACUUCGGGAGAAGGCACGCUGAUAUGUAGGUGAAGUCCCUCGCGGAUGGAGCUGAAAUCAGUCGAAGAUACCAGCUGGCUGCAACUGUUUAUUAAAAACACAGCACUGUGCAAACACGAAAGUGGACGUAUACGGUGUGACGCCUGCCCGGUGCCGGAAGGUUAAUUGAUGGGGUCAGCGCAAGCGAAGCUCUUGAUCGAAGCCCCGGUAAACGGCGGCCGUAACUAUAACGGUCCUAAGGUAGCGAAAUUCCUUGUCGGGUAAGUUCCGACCUGCACGAAUGGCGUAAUGAUGGCCAGGCUGUCUCCACCCGAGACUCAGUGAAAUUGAACUCGCUGUGAAGAUGCAGUGUACCCGCGGCAAGACGGAAAGACCCCGUGAACCUUUACUAUAGCUUGACACUGAACAUUGAGCCUUGAUGUGUAGGAUAGGUGGGAGGCUUAGAAGUGUGGACGCCAGUCUGCAUGGAGCCGACCUUGAAAUACCACCCUUUAAUGUUUGAUGUUCUAACGUUGACCCGUAAUCCGGGUUGCGGACAGUGUCUGGUGGGUAGUUUGACUGGGGCGGUCUCCUCCUAAAGAGUAACGGAGGAGCACGAAGGUUGGCUAAUCCUGGUCGGACAUCAGGAGGUUAGUGCAAUGGCAUAAGCCAGCUUGACUGCGAGCGUGACGGCGCGAGCAGGUGCGAAAGCAGGUCAUAGUGAUCCGGUGGUUCUGAAUGGAAGGGCCAUCGCUCAACGGAUAAAAGGUACUCCGGGGAUAACAGGCUGAUACCGCCCAAGAGUUCAUAUCGACGGCGGUGUUUGGCACCUCGAUGUCGGCUCAUCACAUCCUGGGGCUGAAGUAGGUCCCAAGGGUAUGGCUGUUCGCCAUUUAAAGUGGUACGCGAGCUGGGUUUAGAACGUCGUGAGACAGUUCGGUCCCUAUCUGCCGUGGGCGCUGGAGAACUGAGGGGGGCUGCUCCUAGUACGAGAGGACCGGAGUGGACGCAUCACUGGUGUUCGGGUUGUCAUGCCAAUGGCACUGCCCGGUAGCUAAAUGCGGAAGAGAUAAGUGCUGAAAGCAUCUAAGCACGAAACUUGCCCCGAGAUGAGUUCUCCCUGACUCCUUGAGAGUCCUGAAGGA
rnacentral:rRNA from 1 species